rnacentral:rRNA from 1 species
GGGCCCGCACAAGCGGUGGAGCAUGUGGUUUAAUUCGAUGGUACGCGAGGAACCUUACCUAGGCUUAAAUGUAGAUUGACGUAUUGGGAAACCAGUAUUUCUUCGGACAAUUUACAAGGUGCUGCAUGGUUGUCGUCAGCUCGUGCUGUGAAGUGUCGGGUUAAGUCCCAUAACGAGCGCAACCCCUAUCAUUAGUUGCUAACAUUUAGUUGAGGACUCUAAUGAAACUGCCCGCGUAAGCGUGGAGGAAGGUGGGGAUGACGUCAAAUCAUCACGGCCCUUACGUCUAGGGCUACACACGUGCUACAAUGGUGAAUACAGAGGGAUGCCAACUGGUAACAGUGAGCAAAUCCACAAAAUUCAUCUCAGUUCGGAUUGAGGUCUGCAACUCGACCUCAUGAAGCUGGAAUCGCUAGUAAUCGU